CAAAACCAAGGUGUUAUUUUAUUAUAUUAGUAUUUACAUUACCACCACUGACUGACGUUUCAGAAUUUUAUAUCCACAUUAGUUCACUUUGUAUUUGUACCUUAACUUUAAUCUGCUUCUCUAUUUUUCUCUCCCUGCCUAGUUGGGGUUUUGAUUUUUUCUUACAGUAAUUUGACCCAACCGCCCACUCACUCACCCACAGGGUCUGGCUGAUUUGAAAGCUGAAUUCUACUUGGGAAUGUCUCUGUAUUGGCUUUUGUUGAGCUAGAGAAAGGAGGAAAAAUGGAAGGAAAUGAGCGUGAAUUGAUGUUAGCAUGUGUCAUUUCAGGGACCCUUUUCUCUCUCCUUGCUUUUGCUUCUUUUGCUUUACUUUGGGCUGUUAAUUGGCGCCCAUGGUGAAUUUAUAGUUGGAUCUUUGCUCGAAAAUGGCCGGGAUUCUUACAAGGCCCCCAGUUGGGAAUUAUAUGUAGUUUCUUGUCGCUGUCUGCAUGGAUAAUUGUGAUCUUUCCGGUUGUGGUGCUUGUUACAUGGGGAUGUUGGUUAAUGUUGAUAUUGGGGAGAGAUAUAGUUGGUCUAGCUGUAAUAAUGGCUGGAAGUUCUCUGCUUUUGGAAUUUUACUCAAUAAUGCUUCGGUGGAGAACACAGUGGCAAAGUUCAAGGGCUGUAGCUGUUCUCCUUCUACUAGCUGUUGGAUUGCUUUGUGCAUAUGAACUUUGUGCUGUGUAUGUCAAAGCCGGUGUUAGGGCAUCUGAAAGAUACUCACCAUCAGGGUUCUUCUUUGGUGUAUCGACAAUCUCCCUUGCAAUCAAUAUGCUAUUUAUUUGCAGGAUGGUCUUCAAUGGUGUGUUAUGAUGUCGCAUGAUCUAUAUAUGAGUUUUUCGAAGAUUGAUCAGCAGCUUGUUGUGAGCAUCUUUGCUUUAUUUUUUGGCUCAAAGUAGGACAAAUAUUUAGGGAAUUUUGUUGGUUAUUGUUUCCUAUUCAAGGGUCUAUUGAAAUCUUUACAGGAA